rnacentral:rRNA from 1 species
CCAGACUCCUACGGGAGGCAGCAGUGGGGAAUAUUGCACAAUGGGGGAAACCCUGAUGCAGCAACGCCGCGUGAGUGAAGAAGUAUUUCGGUAUGUAAAGCUCUAUCAGCAGGGAAGAGAAUGACGGUACCUGACUAAGAAGCCCCGGCUAACUACGUGCCAGCAGCCGCGGUAAUACGUAGGGGGCAAGCGUUAUCCGGAUUUACUGGGUGUAAAGGGAGCGUAGGUGGCAUGGCAAGCCAGAAGUGAAAACCCGGGGCUUAACCCCGCGGAUUGCUUUUGGAACUGUCAGGCUGGAGUGCAGGAGGGGCAGGCGGAAUUCCUGGUGUAGCGGUGAAAUGCGUAGAUAUUAGGAGGAACACCAGUGGCGAAGGCGGCCUGCUGGGCUUUUACUGACGCUGAGGCUCGAAAGCGUGGGUAGCAAACAGGAUUAGAUACCCGCGUA